ensembl:snoRNA small nucleolar RNA SNORA27
UACCUGCUUUUCACUCUGCCAACUGGACUUGCAUCUUUAUUGGUCAUUCAAGUGGGGCAAAGGAAAUAUACUAUUAAAACUCAGGCAAAUUGGGUGUUUGUUUUGUAUCUUAUCAGAGGAAAUAAGU